rnacentral:rRNA from 1 species
UGAGGAAUAUUGGUCAAUGGGCGAGAGCCUGAACCAGCCAAGUAGCGUGCAGGAUGACGGCCCUAUGGGUUGUAAACUGCUUUUAUGUGGGGAUAAAGUGCGUGACGUGUCAUGAAUUGCAGGUACCACAUGAAUAAGGACCGGCUAAUUCCGUGCCAGCAGCCGCGGUAAUACGGAAGGUCCGGGCGUUAUCCGGAUUUAUUGGGUUUAAAGGGAGCGUAGGCUGUCUAUUAAGCGUGUUGUGAAAUUUACCGGCUCAACCGGUGGCUUGCAGCGCGAACUGGUCGACUUGAGUAUGCAGGAAGUAGGCGGAAUUCAUGGUGUAGCGGUGAAAUGCUUAGAUAUCAUGACGAACUCCGAUUGCGCAGGCAGCUUACUGUAGCAUAACUGACGCUGAUGCUCGAAAGUGCGGGUAUCAAACAGG